UACAGAGGUCCCAAGCGUUGUUCGGAUUCACUGGGCGUAAAGGGUGCGUAGGUGGUAGGGAAAGUUCGAUGUGAAAGCUCCGAGCUUAACUCGGAAACGGCAUUGAAAACUGCCCUGCUAGAGGGUUGGAAGGGGGACUGGAAUUCUCGGUGUAGCGGUGAAAUGCGUAGAUAUCGAGAGGAACACCAGUGGCGAAGGCGAGUCCCUGGACAACUCCUGACACUGAGGCACGAAAGCUAGGGGAGCAAACAGG
rnacentral:rRNA from 1 species